UGUAAUGUUUGGAGAAGACAAGAUGGCGCUGGUUACCUCGUGUUAUAUCAAAGGGCAUUUUUGUUCAUAAAUACCCGCUUAUUUUACGUUAUAGCGACUGGUUCGUUUUGGAAAUUAUAACUCAAUGGACGGGGAAAAUGAUUCUGUAUUAAAGAGAAAAUGAUGUGCAGUUAUUGUGAUGUUAUUUGUUGUGAAAGACGGCCCGAAAUUUCGCUACUUCGCAGUACUGGUUUAUAAAACAUUUACAAGCAACAGCAAUUGAACUAUAUGACAAAGAAACCAAUGUAUACAAGCCAAUCAAGUUCUUCAGUUUAAAGGUCAGUUUAUUUUUGAUAAUUAGUUCAUGUAGUUAUAUAUAAUACGAAGUACAGGGCCAUUCCAUUUAAUAUCCACACCCUCCUGUUGACUAGAUUUUCCGAAGGGGGUCUGAAAUUUUGAAUUUCUGAGGGUGUGCCAAGUUGAAAUUUCCGAGGGGGUUUGUGAAAGGAAAAUUUCUUAAGGUGUCAACAUUUUUGUAAUUUUCCAAGGAGUUAAAAUUUUUUUUAAAUUUCUGAGGGGGGAGGAGGAAGGUAUACCUGUUGACGAAAAUUUCUGAAGGGGUGGUAAAUAAUUCCCAAAAAUUACUGAGGGGUUUAUCAUAGUGGAACCACGUCAACAGUUAUUUCUAAGGGCUUGAGAAAAAUUGUAAAUUUCCGAGGGGGUUCUUAAAAAAUAGCGAAUUGGGUCAUUCCCCGACUGCAUUAAUUCCAGGCCCCUCCCGCCAAAGAUCUUUGGUGGGAAAAAACUUCACUAUUUUUGGCGGCGUGCAUUCUAGAAGAAUGGCGGAUGCACAAACUGCAUGUAUAAAUGGUGUUAAUAUGCCAAUGAAUAAUUAAUGUUUGAAUAAUAUUUCAUUAUUUUAUUUAAAUAAAGUACCUUUCUUUCUUAACUUCUUUAUAACCUUUUCUACUUGCACUGUGCAAUACAGCUUUAAAGUACUGACAAUUGAUUUGAAUUAAUGAUAUUACCCAUACUUUCCUGCAACUUUUCCAAACAUAUAGUUGAUUAAAUAUGCCUUCGGCCAUUUAGUACUAUGAAAUUGUAAACAAAUUGUAAAUUUCGACUUAUUAAAACGCUGUUUUCUGACCAUCAGAAUUCUAUCAAAUCUUCCCCAAAGUCCAGGAAAUGGGAUUUCAGAGGCUCGAAAUUUAAAAAUUUGCUCAAUUGUUUUCAGCUCCACUCCCAAUCAAAAACAACUUCCUACGGCAUUAUCAACAUACAAAUAUUCAGCAUAGGCUGGAUCGAUAUACCGGAUAUAUCCGAUAUACCGGUAUUUGUUUAGAUACCGGUUUGGCGAUAUUGACAAUUUAAAAAUACUGAUAUACCGACAUUUCGGUAUUUUGCUGCCUAAUACCGAAAUGAAACGCUCUUUCAAGUCAAACUUGCUUACAAUCACGUUUAGAAAGCAAAGUUAAUACUCACAGAUGCAUGAUUUUGUUCUUACAGUUCUAGCGGCUUUGGUUUAGCAAUACCAGACGUCUUGUUUAUUAAAUCGCCUUAAUUGGAAAUAUAAAAAUGGCGAAAUUUUUAAAGGAAAAUUUCGACAAAAAAGAAAACUUUGAUUUUGGAAGGUGGAAGUACUAGCAUUUGCGAAGCAGCGAAAACCUUUUCUGGCUUUUCAAGUUUUUUUUUUCAUGCUUGCUAACUUGUUUAUGUGUUAGUUUUAAAAAUGCAACGUUUUCUAUGUUUAUAACUAUUAGCACCUUACUGAAACACUAUCUGAAUUUAUAUACAAAACGAAUAUUUUUCUGAAUGAUUCAACACUUCGACGCCCAAUCGACGGCCUACUAAUAAUUGCCGCUUAGCGCUGUUAAUUGUUAACAUAGCUUGAUAAUGCGAAUCUUGUGACAUUUUGCACUAAUAACAGUAUGUGCCACAUUAAUAUUUUGUCAAAACUUGAUUUUUCUUGACGGUCAGCACUUCAGUUUGGCUUAAAAAAACACGUUAAAAAUACCGGAAUACCGGUAUUUACCGGUAUUCUGAUGGCGGUAUAUCGGUAUUCGGUAUUUGCGAUAUCGAUCCAGCCUAAUUCUGCAUUCCCAUAAUUAUAUUGUUUAUGAACUGUCUGUUGAAGUUGUCAAUAUAAGAUGAGAUUUUUGCACCUUUUUUAUUUUUAAAAUUUUUUUAAAGAUGUGAUUUUUGCACCUUUGGCGCAUGUAACUUGACCGCUUUAGAUAUAAUUAGUCUUUGGCGGAUAUAGUUUUAAAGCUGAAUUUCUGGUGUGAAUCUUUGGCGGUGAGAAAAGGUGGAAUGCAGUCGGGUGUCAUUCCAGAAAAAAUCCAUACCACCCCCACAGAGGAAAUAGGAAGUUAAUUCCCCUACCCCCUUUGGAUGUCCUAAUACAUUUACUAUUAUCAGAAACAAUUUUUUCUCCCCUCACUCUCCAGAUGGCAGAAAUUUCCUCCGUGUGGGGCAGGCCUCGAAUUUCCCUGAAAUCAAUCGACGGCAAUGGCGUUAAAAAUUGCCGUAGAACGUAACAGCUGUCUACGGCAAUUUUGACAGUUUCCACGGCAUUUUUCAAAUUACUGUAAUAAAACUUUAAUUUUAUUGUUACUUUGGAUUUUUGACAAGCUAGAAACAUGUCUACGUAUUUCUUUAGUGUUUUUUUUUUUCGAAGAAAACUGAGACUAAAAUAGUGAUUUACGCAUAUUUGAUCAACAUCUGAAUUCAAGUAUCAAAAUAGUAAUGCACAGUGAAUGGUAUAAAAAUUGCACUAUACGGCAAAAAAUUGCCGUCGUUGCCACAAUGAUCCACGGCAUUUUGUUCUCCCUCUACGGCAAUUGCCGCGAUAAAAUUCGAGCCCUGGUGUGGGGAGUAUGGAUCUUUUCUGGAACAACCCAUUUCCGAGGGGGCUUACAGAAAACCGUUUCUGAAGGGGUCUAAAAUCAGAAACCUCGUCAACAGGGGGUGUGGAUAUUAAAUGGAAUGGCCCACUGGAUGCUAGUAAAAACUGUUUAAUAAUUAGUUCAUUUAGUUGUGUAUUAAUACGAAGUACUGGAUACUAGAUAAAUAGUUCAUGUAGUUGUAUAUUAAUCUGAAGUACUCUACUACCAGGGGUUUCAGAAUAAGCCGGCGGCCGGCGGAGUUCCGCCGGCUACUUGAACUUUUACCGUCGGCUACUUUUCGUCUGGCCACAGGAAAAAUUUUAUAUACAAAGGUACAAGCCAACCAACACGAUGUUUGUUAUGUUCCAAUUGGAAUUCAAGUUGGCCUUGAAUUUCCCUGAAAUCAAUCGACGGCAAUGGCGUUAAAAAUAAUUGUCGUAGAACGUAACAGCUGUCUACGGCAUUUUUUCAAAUGACUGUAAUAAAAAUUUCUUUAGUGUUUUUUUUUUCGAAAAAAACUGAGACUAAAAUAGUAAUUUACGGAUGAUUUGAUCAAUAUCUGAAUUCAAGUAUCAAAAUAGUAAUGCACAGUGAACAGUUUAAAAAUUAUACUAUACGGCAAAAAAUUGCCGUCGUUGCCGCAAUGAUCCACGGCAUUUUGUUCUCCCUCUACGGCAAUUGCCGCGAUAAAAUUCAAGCCUUGAAUUCAAGCAAAACGUCAAAGAAGAAGUGAUGAAGUGAAGUUACAAACAACCAAAUUCAUCAACAUAAUACGAGAAACGCAUCAAAACUUUUUAAAUGUUAUAAGAGAACAAAUUAUGUAAAACACACUCUUUCAAAUAAAGGAGUUGAUGUGUGGAACAAAUUAGAAACAAAUCUGAAAAACAUAAAUUUCUAUAAUACCUUCAAGAAACUAAUUAAGCAACACUUUAUACUAAAUCCAGAUACAAAUACAUAGAUUCAGAAAUCACACUUUCUUUAUGCAGACAAUGUCUGUCCAUACAUUGUCAUUGUGCAAAAAAAUACCAUAUAAUAAUCUAACUAGUAUAUCUCUUUAUCUUAAUAUUGUAAACACUACAGUAUUUACCCUUCAUACCUCAAAUUUGUAAAUAUCUUGUAUAUACCUUGUAAAACUUUUCUUCUGCAUUUAAUAUUAUCUUAAAAAUUACUGUAAAUAAUAAAAUAAUCUAAAUAGGACAUGACUAGUGGCCUAGAAACAAAAGCCUGCAAAGGUUUCUAGUAGGUCUCUAGCCCAAAUAGUUCAUUUGUAAUAAUGUAUUAAUAAUUGCAAUGUACAUGGGAAAAUAAAUUUAAAAAAAAAAAAAAGAAAAAAAGUUCAUUACGUAUAUAACAUCAUUUGAUUAAUGAUUUCGGACUCAUAAAUUAAUUUACGUUGUAUUUCCACAAACAAAACUAUUAUAUGUUUUAUCGCCAUGCAAACCUACAAAGAACUUAAUACUAUUACUGUAGUCUACAUUGUCAUUCCGUUCAUGCAGCUGUAAAAACUAAAUUAGCCUACUAGUAGCACAUUAAAGUAUACAUUGUCACUUACAAGUAAAAAUGCAAAUGACAUCUAAAUCUAACAUGUUAACAGUUGUACUUUGUCUUUUUACGUAUUCUAUAUUAUUUGAUUAUUAAUUUGCGGCGAAAAUUUUUUAAAUUUCCAUGCGAGGACACGCCCCCCUCCCCGCGCGAUUUUUUAACUAUCAGUCACAGCCGGCUACUUUUUUGGUACAACCGCCUACUUCAAAUCAUUCUGAAACCUCUGUACUACUCGUGUUACCACGCAUAACAUUGAAUUGACGUUAUCACCGGUACCCACCUCAGAUAACGUCGAUCAUUACCCUGUCGUAUUUUGACCGCUAAAAGAGCUCAAAAGCAAAAUGGCAGCUGAAAUAUGGUGUAUAAUCAAUCAAUUUAUCUCAGAAUGCAUUAAAAUGCUGAGGCUUCAAUUCAAAGUUAUUCACUGUAUUUGUACGUAAUUGACCGGUAUUUGACAUGAAACGUCGCUUCAAUACUUCAACCUUUGUUUUGGCCUCUAUUAGUUGAAAAUAAUAUAAUACUGGCAAAAGUGCACGGCAAACAUUAAAUAUUUAAACUUUGGUCUGUUUGGAUGUAAAUAGUCAAAUUGCUACAAGAUAAUGUCGAUUCUACGUAAUGUGUGGCAACAUGAAUAUGGACCUGGUCCCUUAGCGAGUUUGAUUUGCUAUUUGUAUAAACAGACCCCAACCCCUUCUCUAACCCUAACCAAUGAAUGUGUAAUGAACUAUUGAGAGUUAAAAAAGUCAGGUGGGAUUUUAAAAUAUUUUAAGAAAAAUUUCUAUGGGGCUGAAUAUGGAAGCCGGUUGGCCCGCCAAACAAGACACAGGAUGAAUUUUGCUUGCGUUUAUAUGAGGAGAUUUUAUGCCGCUUGCCAGGCUAGGAAUUGUUUACAUUUCACUCAAUUGGUCGGUGUUGCCAGAACAAAUUUCAAAUUUUGUAAAAUUACAGCUAUUGAAGCACAUUGCAACCUUUUGUUUUGUCUUUUUUUACCUAUGUAAUGUCAAGAACUAUAAAAAUAGUUGCAGAAAAGACUUCAAACUAUCGAAAAUGUUUCAUCCCAGCAACCGGGCCAUCCCAUUUGCUAGUGUUUAUAUGGGGAAAUUUUCACCCUGGUUAUCCAUAUAAAUGCACAGGAAUUUUUGCUAUAAAUUCUACUACACGGCGAGAUCUUGCUAAGAUGAAAGAAAAAAAUUACCUGUGGUUCCAGUUUCAUAUCGUGACAAAAUUUAUAGGGUCGGUAGAUCGGAAAUUUUUUUUUGAAUAUUAUUUUCAUGGUUUUGGCGGUUUUUUGCUGGGUGAUUUGCAGUAGAGUCCCGACAUCAAUAUUAACUAGAGAUGCGUAUUUCCUAUGGACGAAUUUAGGCAAUUUGGUUCAAUAAUUAGUGUGACAACAAACACCAUUUUGGCACGCUGUAUGAGCAGCCCACAACCACCUGGAGAAAAUACGGUCGCACGGUCAAUUGUGCUGAAAAAAUAAUAGGGUCGGCAGAAAAAAAUAGGGUCGGUUGGGAACCGGAACCACAGGUAUUUUUUACGCCUAACCGGGCUGUCUUGCCAAGUGGGCCAGCCUGGCUCCAAUAUAAACAGCCCCUAAAUCAAACAGAAAUCGACAGCUAAAACAAAACCUGAUCCCGACCUUGUUUCACUUUGCAUGCAUGCAACGCCUUUGCUGAAUACACUACCAGCCUGAAUUGCUGAAAGCUAUUGCAAAAAACUAUUUUAUAUUACUACUUUACAAAAUGUAAGAACCUGACACCAUCCCUGCGACUUUGUGUCAUCUAUCUAGACAGUAUGAUUAUUGUAUGCGACUUUUCCAACCGAGAGAUAUAUUAGACCCUCUUUCUACUUUUUUUUUCACUUUGCCUUGGUCACACUUUGAACAAGAGGUGUGCCAAUUUCGCUUUCUCUCAUCUCAUUGUAGAUGUCCGCCAUUUUGAACUAUUUUUUCAUAAAAAUGUAUUUAAAAUAUUUACAACUUUUUUGUGUUGCAUACGACUGUCAUAAGCAAGUUGUAGGGCUAUCUAUACGGCACAAUUUGUGUCGCAGGGAUGGUGUCAACAAGUUGCAUACAACAAUCGUCAUGGGCGUACAGGAAGGAAAAAAUAAGGGGGUGGAAAGAAAUUUGCCCGACUUUGUCGGAUUGUGCCCGAGUUGUCAAAAAAAAAUUUCCGGAGAAACUUUCCAAAAUUGUUGUCGCUCCAAUAUUGUUUAGGUCCAUUUUUUUAAGUAUUUUAUAAAGCGUAUGCUAUGUAUGUGCUAAGAAGGUAGUUUUGUUGGCAUGUGGAAAGCAAAAGUAGCGAAGGUAAAGAGAUUAAAAUUGGAUUUAGUGCGUAUUUUUGAAAAAAUUUUACCACCAAAUAUGGUAGUCCUCCCCCCCCCCCGUCGAUGACACUUGUGACGUCAGGUACAUACGGGACUUUGGGGGCGGGUUUUGGCGGGAAAAUCUGUAAUGUUUGGAGAAGACAAGAUGGCGCUGGUUACCUCGUGUCAUAUCAAAGGGCAUUUUUGUUCACAAAUACCCGCUUAUUUUACGUUAUAGCGACUGGUUCGUUUUGGAAAUUAUAACUCAAUGGACGGGGAAAAUGAUUCUGUAUUAAAGAGAAAAUGAUGUGCAGUUAUUGUGAUGUUAUUUGUUGUGAAAGACGGCCCGAAAUUUCGCUACUUCGCAGUACUGGUUUAUAAAACAUUUACAAGCAACAGCAAUUGAACUAUAUGACAAAGAAACCAAUGUAUACAAGCCAAUCAAGUUCUUCAGUUUAAAGGUCUGUUUACUUUUUAAUAAUUAGUUCAUUUAGUUGUACAUUAAUACGAAGUACUGGAACAGUACGCCUAGUCACAGAAUAGGAAGGUAUACCCAUUGAACUAAAAAUAACUGGAAC
rnacentral:lncRNA from 1 species